rnacentral:lncRNA from 1 species
GAAUUUCAUCUGAUGCAUGCUUGAGACUAGCUUACAACUUUUUUCCCCAGUCGUCACCUCGAUUCUUGAAUUUUCUAAUUAGCGUGUCGUCAAUUAUAGCACUUAGAGAUGCCCCAGUGACCCAGUUAAUAAAGUAGCACUAGGUACUGUAUACAAUGCGUUUUCCAAAUUCUCUUCUCCACUUUAUCACCUCGCAUUAUUCAGUUAUUUUACAAUAAAUACUCCGUCAUUCGUCUGUGGAUCGUCAUGACGCUGGUCAAUCGGAUCUUCGACCAAGGCUUGCCUCGCCCAUGGAAACGCGUAAUGGACGAAGUCGAUCAACAGCACCGCGGCAUUGAUCAGACACGAAAUGGCCAAAAUCAGUUCUUGCCACCUAAAAAUCCCAAAAAAUCAGGCAUCGAGACUAAAAGACAUUGCGAAUCAGCAGAAAGCAUCUACAACGUCUUACCCAAUUGUUCUGGCGUCUCCUACUACACUGCUGAACCACGAUGCCCAUUGAUAUAUCUCGAACACCCCGCAUAUGAAACUCACGAUGCAUCCCAAGCCGGCAAACACCGUUUCCUACACUUGGCAAGAUUAGUGAAUGGGGUUAUAAUGCGCUUGGAGAAGUUAAUUGACAGGUUUAUUAUGCAGUCAAGUUCACAGUUGGCUUCCUUUAGAGAUACGUGAGACGAAGUACUCACUAUGAAAGUAUGUGGACGUCCCAUCGCGCUCACGGAUAUUUCGGAGAAGUUGACGAUUAUGUACCCGCUAACAAAUGUUGGUAUCAGGAUCCUGAUCCAGUUCGGAUAAAAGACGAGGACUGGUUGGACGUAGCCAUAGGAGGCUAGACAACAACAGCACUAGGAUCAACCAUUGAGGGUUAUCUCACCAAGGAAAUAAAUUUGCACGCCAAGGAUACGUUCAUCAAUCAGUCAAGACUUCCACGUGCAGUUUUACUCCGAGCACCCCAUUGACACAUUCUUGAAAGGCUGAUAAACUCGUUUUAUUCAUUCACGAAGGAUGCACCAAAAAAAAAAAAAAAAUGUUACGGGACGAAGGCAGGAAUUAUAAUCAGCUGUCGAAGAUUUAGUACCGCAUUGGCAUGUCCUAGUCCUGGUUGGUUUCGUCUUGGUAUUGCUUCAGGAUAGGUUCACCUGGCCAAAUAGCUUGACGAUGGUAUUUUGCAUAGACACAGGAACCUAUACGAUUAUAUUGAUGGUUAUUUUGCUAGCCUAUGUGCUAGAGCAGCCACAUCAGCUGAUCGUUAGUUUACAGUAAAAAAAAAGAAUAGAAUGAUCUCUGCCGGAAGUGGAAACUGCAAUGUUUUAUAAAAGAAAUUCUUAUGAAAGGAAUUGAGGUUCACGGUUAUUGGCGUCGUCGUCUUCGUGAUUGGCAGUAUCAUGGCGUUUCGUAACUACGAAGAAGUGCAAGAUGGGUCAGACGGGAAAGUUUCAAUGCUCGAUUUCCAUCUGGGCAUCAUCCUCUCGGUCACAGCUAUUGUCAUGGUCUUCGACACAUUCCUCGGCAUGAAAUAUAUCGGCGAUGUCAUGAACCGAGACUGAAUUUCAGUACGAUGCUGGACCCCGACGAUUCAAUAAUGACUGGUUAAUUUUUUUCUCUUGAAUGAUUAUUAAUGUUACAUUAUCAUAGCCAGAUACAAUGGAAACAGUAAGAAAUAGAAAAAGCAAAUGUUUGGUCAGGAAUGUUUUUUACUUCUAGACAUAUCUGAAGAUCUUUAUUUCUCAUUGUCUUUGAAGCAUUUAUGGAGCAUCAGGUGGUCUCGGUGUAUCGCGAUUUCCUCCUGACCCCAUCUUCAUCCUCGUCCUCAUCAUCGGUUGAGCUGUGCGUCUCGAUUACUUUUGGUGUAGAAUUGCAUGUCAGGUCCAGAACCAUGGCGAUGGAGCAUGCUUAAAAACUCAAUAUUAUGUAAAUACCAUCACCUUUCUUUAAAAUAACGACCAAUUAUUCAUCUGCUUACCGUACAUCCAGAAAGCCAACAUUCCCUCGGACACGUAGGAGUAGGGCUUUCCAUCUUUCGUCUCUCUCUCUUGGAAGACGAAAACUCUGAGCACCAUCAAAGUAGCUGAUAUGAAAUUGAGGGCUGCUCCCAAGCCCGUGAAGAGAACGGACUAUGUUAAGAAACAAUGUCACAAGAAAAUGAAUGGUCAAACGAUUUUACAGUUCUUACCACAAAAUACUGCGGCUUUUCAGACAGUCCAACGCAUAUCAGUGCAAUUGAUAUUAAGACGUAGCCGAUCGUGCUGACGACCAAGAGCGUGAACACAGGAACGUUCCAGUAGCUCAUUCGCCAAUUACUCACGAAGAUAGAACCAACGGCACAGAGGCCCUGCAGCAAACGUAUAAUAUUUUGACCACGUUCAAUCAGUGUCCGAAUCGCAUUUACGCGAUCAGUAAAUGCGUAUGCUUGCGCCUUUUACUUACGGCUUCGGUUAUCUUGAAUCCAAUUAGUCCGUAGUCGAUGAGCUCAAUUAUUGCCAUAGCGGUAAAUAUUGCACCUUGCAGAUAUACUUUUAGGCUAAACUUCGACGAUGUCAGUCUGUUUCUUCAAAUUUUUCAAACGAUUUUAAGCGACGUAACAUCAAGACGAGAUCGCGCCUUCGUGGAACUUAAAAGCACGAUUGGAAGCUUUGAAAAAAUUACCUACAGAUGCAUCCGAUCUUUUUUCGUGGCAGCAAGUACUGCACAAAGCUACUGGAAUGGGUUAGAAAAAACAAACAAGUGGAGUUAUUUUAUUUCGUGUCAAGAUUUCAAAGAUUUCGCAUUUCGAAAUUUCCAAGUCCACAUCAUAUUUCAAAAAUAGAUUACAUGCUUCGUGUGCAUCGUCUCUGCGUGUUACAUGGAGGUAGAUUCUUGGCCACGAGGGGCAUUCGUCGUAGCAUUGACGUCAUGUGGCACCAGUCUCGUGAUCAGUACCGUCUUCAUCGUGUCCCACGCGACAAGAAACGUCCACGAAUUCACCGUACGUACGAAUCAGCGAAAAUAUUUUCUCGGCCUUGUUACACGAACUACCAAUGCUGUGACAUUUUCUUUCAGGAAGCCGUGUUUGACGUUUUAUGUAUAGCAAUUUUGGCCGUUGGAAUUUGCGUGUCAGUCAAGCAGCGGAGCGGUAACAAACUCGACGAGCUCUUCAUCGGCCUUUUGGCUCUGAACGUCCUCUUCUUUCUCUCGGACUUGGUCGUUUAUCGAAUAGUAUACGACCCCGUUUUGUGCUGCUGGAUAGCGGUGAGGCCAUUGGUAAAAACCGACGACGAUCGGAAUGAGCGCAACGACGAUUAGCUCCAGAGAAACCGCUCCAAAUAUUUGACCAACUUUUCUAAUAGAUAUAUCAAGAUCAUACCCAUCACUCGGAAUUGCGCGUCAAUUUAAAUGGGUUGAUAUGAGUCGAGAAUUUUAUUCGUGCGUCAGCUUUAUUUUCAACUCAAACACGCGCUCGGGUUUUUGGUAUUCAUGAAUAUACAUUAUAUAAUGUACAAAAAGAUGAAACUGUACAAGUUUGAACACCUGUUCAGCUAUCGUGGAGUACAUGAAUUGGCAGUCUUAUGCGACAUGUUUGAUCGAAUGACUCGUUACAGAACCCCACGCCUAUGCACAAAUUGUGAACGAGGCGAUUGGUACAUUGAAAAAGAAUGAAGAAAAAUAUAAUCGGGUUGUUAUAAUCAUUAAUUGCACUUAUCAUACGUAAAAUAAUACAUAUUAAUAUACCUACAUAAUAUAAUGUAAUACCUAUAGAUACUCAAAUGUGUGUAUUAUAAAAAUAUUACCAUUUCUAACUUGUACUAAUAUUUUGCAUAACAUUUCGCGACAAUAUAUAAUGUUUUAUGCAGGUGCGAUAAUUGUCUGAUAAGUUAUCAAAUUGUCGGUAAACUUUGACGAAACGUCGUGUCCAGUUGAAAUGAAAUUAAGUGAACUUGGAAAAUCGUUCACACGCUAUAUCAAAUUUAAAAGAUGUAUAACUCGAAACCUUUAUACUCGCUUAUAAAAA